GGUCACGAGUGCCAGCGCUAAACCCCGGUUAGCUGGCCGGCAACCCUCCUCACGCGGCGGGGUGCCCCGGGUGACGACCUGGCCGUUCCUGACUGGUUCGGCAAGCGCGGAUC
rnacentral:ncRNA from 1 species